GACGAACCGUGCAAACGUUAUUCGGAAUCACUGGGCAUAAAGGGCGCGUAGGCGGCUCUCUAAGUCAGGGGUGAAAUCCGGCAGCUCAACUGUCGCAGUGCCUUUGAUACUGGAGAGCUCGAGGGAUGUAGGGGUCUGUGGAACUUCCGGUGGAGCGGUGAAAUGCGUUGAUAUCGGAAGGAACGCCGGUGGCGAAAGCGACGGACUGGACAUCUUCUGACGCUGAGGCGCGAAAGCCAGGGGAGCAAAC
rnacentral:rRNA from 1 species